AUUGAACGCUGGCGGCAGGCCUAACACAUGCCAGUCGAACGGUAACAGGAAGCAGCUUGCUGCUUUGCUGACGAGUGGCGGACGGGUGAGUAAUGUCUGGGAAACUGCCUGAUGGAGGGGGAUAACUACUGGAAACGGUAGCUAAUACCGCAUAACGUCGCAAGACCAAAGAGGGGGACCUUCGGGCCUCUUGCCAUCGGAUGUGCCCAGGUGGGAUUAGCUAGUGGGUGGGGUAACGGCUCACCUAGGCGACGAUCCCUAGCUGGUCUGAGAGGAUGACCAGCCACACUGGAACUGAGACACGGUCCAGACUCCUACGGGAGGCAGCAGUGGGGAAUAUUGCACAAUGGGCGCAAGCCUGAUGCAGCCAUGCCGCGUGUAUGAAGAAGGCCUUCGGGUUGUAAAGUACUUUCAGCGGGGAGGAAGGGAGUAAAGUUAAUACCUUUGCUCAUUGACGUUACCCGCAGAAGAAGCACCGGCUAACUCCGUG
rnacentral:rRNA from 1 species